CGGGGGCCAGGAUGGGAUUUUAUUUGCAUGUUAAAAUGAUAAUGAUGAGGCAGAAACUUAACAAUCUAUAUUCUUCAGGUGUACAGGCUCACUCAACCCUCGUAAGAGCCAGAAAAGGGGCCGGAUGCGGUGGCUCACCCCUGUAAUCCCAGCACUUUGGGAGGCCGAGAUGGGUGGAUUGCUUGAGCCCAGGAGUUUGAGACCAGCCUGGGCAACAUAGUGAGGCCCCAUCUCUAUUAAAAUUGGUUUUAAAAAAGAGCCAGAAGUGGCAGGUGCUGUUCUCAUCCCCACUUCACAGACGAGGAACCUGAGGGUCCGAGACACAGGAAGCUGCUUGAUCCUCCAGCCAGGAUGAGGCUGAGGGAGAGCCCAGGCCAACCCGCUCUUGGAGUUUGGACUUUCAACCGCGAAUUUUCCACAACCGUAUGGAAAUGUUCGUCCAGGGGUUCUGGAAACACUCAGUCCCCAUGGUCUGUCUUCUGUUUUCCUAUUUUUGGUAAGCAUUAAAAACAAAACAAAACAAAACAAAAGCUCUUCCCUUUCCCUGUUGGUCCAUUCUGAGGAAGCGUCACCCAAUGUGGUGACAAACAGUAAGUGGCAUCAGCCCCAGCGUGGCAGUGAUAGGGCGUGGUGGGGACUGUGGCGCGGAGAGUCCCCACAGGAAAGGGAGCAGCGGCUUCACCCACAGAUGCUGCAGCAAGGAGAGCCCCGUGCCAGCUGCCCAGGCUGUUGGAUCCGUUCAGGGAUCCGGCUUGCACGUGGGCCCACGAAGGGGGUCUGCACGCAGGCAGGGUCUCUGUUCCCCGAGCGUCUAUCCCCAGCACCCACAGCAGUGCCCAGCUCAGCUAGGGUGCAAUAAAUGAUGUGUGAACUGGUGAAUUCAUGGAAAUCUCCCACUUUUUACCUAUUGGGGAUUAAUUCCAUGUUUUAAGUCUGGGCCGGCAGUGCCACGUGGUCCUCCAGGUGUGUCCUCUGUCAGGUGCUAGAGGACACCCCAAGAGGACACACCUGGAGGACCACGUGGCACUGCC
rnacentral:lncRNA from 10 species